rfam:Lingula anatina scaffold180, whole genome shotgun sequence.
ACAUCAGAUUUUUUCAAAUCUAUCCAUGUUUUGAAAAAAAAAAGA